AGUGGUAAAGAAUCCGCCUGCCAAGAAGGAGACUCAGGAAAGAUCUCCAAGCAAAGGAGAAAGCAUGAAUUCUCCUUUUGUUGGGAGAUGGCAGUUUUCAGUGAGAGUUGCAGCAUUUCAUGAAUCUGGAAUACUAGGACAAUCGUAUCACUAAUACAAAGCCCUGGCUCCUUGUUUCUGUGACCCUCUGUCACAAAAGGACAAAGGCUUCCUGUUCCCCCUUGUCCUUGGAGAUCACGGGCAGCAGUCUCGGCUGUGUGAGCACACAUCUCAUUCUGGACCUGGAUGCUGCUUGGUUUGGUCUGAGUCGCAGCUAAAACAAAGCCGUUUCCCUCGGCCUCCAGGGCUCCUGGCUGAGCUCCGCCGGCUGCGGGCCCUGCCCAGCACGCCCUGCCACUCAGAUGUCACUGGUGUCCCUGUUGGCCACACACCCCCCACCCAGGGGAGAAAUUAAGGCGAUUUCACUGAGGCCCACUGCCUGGGCAGUUCACAGCCCUCCUGGAGGAGCCAGAUAGAACUUGGACAGAGUCAGAGGAGCCCAAGAGGGUGAUGCGAAGCUGGAGACCCAGUUGAAGGAUCUGGCUUAGAAGAGGCAGAGACGCUUCAUUUAAAGGAGAAAAAGUAGAAGAUAACUUCACAAGAAUCUAAGUUUAUGAUGAAGUAUCCAUCUGCAUGUCCAUGGGUGAGGGUAGAUAGACACGGUAUGCCCAUGGAGGAAAUUUCCUCCAUGGUGGGUGCCUUUCAGGCUGGUGAGAAUGCUGCAGGCUGAGGCUGGACCAAAGACAGAAAUCAGAAAACACGCCCCACUCUCAUGGUUCAUUCAUUGUAGCCCAAAGACUUAAAGCUUUUAAAAUGUCAGACAGAUAUUUGACUUGAGAGAGUGAAAAUUUAAAAAGUAAAUUAAAAACAUACUUGUAUUUAGAAAUCAAUUUUAUAAUCCCAUGAAAACUUUCCUAUGUUUCUCUUAAUCAAGCCUGGAAAUGAAAGUAAUCUUAACAUUUGCUUGCUUAACAGAUCUGUGUGACUGUAUAGCUAUUUAUGGAAUUUGUUGUAAAAACAGAGAAGGAGAACUAUCAAUACUUGACAAAGUUAAGCAGUCUGGCCAAAAGAGAGAUCCUUUUUAUUAUUGGAAAUCACUUUUUUUUGACUUGCGUUUUUCUCUGGCUUAACUCCCAGGUACGUGACAGUCUUGUAAUUGAAGGGUAAGCUGGGUUUCAAGUGUCAUUUCACAGUGUCUCCCCCCACUUUUCCUCUACUUGUCCCCAGUCAAGACUCAUUGACCUAAAUUCUCCAUCUCUGGCAGAGGUCCUUCUAACUCAUCUUACUGAAGUUUUCUCCAUCUCGAUUACUGUGCCUUUUUUUUAUAGGGAACUUUCCUUUGAGAUCAAAGACAAUGUAUAGCAAUUUAUGGGAAAUAAAGGAAGUAGGAGAGGAUGCCAAGUCAUUUUAAGGGAAGGAGGGUCUGAAGAGGUGAAUAUGUGGGAAGAUCUGGUC
ensembl:lncRNA